rnacentral:lncRNA from 1 species
AACAGUAGCCCCUCGCAAUAUUAAUUUGCUAGAAUGAUAAAUUUAGAUUGCGACAUCGACGAAGGCCUUAAGCCGAAGGUCCGAAAAAACACCUUCCCUUUGCUAGAAUAGCAACAUUCACUGACAAGCGGGGUCUUCCAAUUUUCAAUGCACUGGGUGUAUAAAUAAGAGUAUACUACGAGCUCAUUUGAUACGCUUUCUUGCCAUCUGCUCUUGCUUACUUAAUUUUUAGCUCUUGGGCACCAACACUUGUUUGGCUUUUUAAGUUUUUAAGCUUCAGCUUUGAAGAUAGUUUUUUAGUAUUUUCGAAGAUGUCUGAAGAUAAAAAAGGCUGCUGUCGAGAUAAAGCUGAGUCUCUCUGAAGAGAAAAACCUGGGGUUUCUUGAAGCAAUGUCGAAGACCAAUACAGAAAAGAUCACCAAAGAGAUUUUAGAAGGUUUAUCCGAAGGUCCUCAAAAACAUGAUUUAACAAUGUUUCUGGAGUAUAACGUGUGAACAGGUAUCUUCGGACUCGAAUCGGCACCACAGUAGGAGAAGCCCAAAGAAUACGAAGGUUGAUACAGCGUCGAAACUGUGAGCAGGAAAGCUUCGACGUGAUAGUAGAAAAGGAAACCGAAUUAAAGAUAAAAAGGCUAUUCAGACCUCGGUAGAUUACUAUAGAAUUACUACCAAAUGUAAAGGGCAUGGGUGUAAUUUUACAUGGGUUGUGUCCCGCGCCUAUAAAUAGGUGAACAGUGCCCCCGUACUGUUCACGAUGACUUGGCAUUUGCUUUUGCGUCACGCUUGUAUUUUUACCUUCUUUUAAGCCGAAGGUACAUUUGUAAUUUGAUAUCAUUUCUAUUUUUCCAUAAUAAUAAUAUAGAAAUGAGUUGAUAAUAAUAUAUAAUUGUUUACGUUAUCCUCUAUAUUUCAUAUGUUUUCUUCUUCAUUAUUAUAUGUUGUGUUUAUGAAGGUAUGUCCUUCAUAACCUUCGUCCAAAAAUCAUUAUAUCCCCAAGGGAAAUAAUGCUUCGAAGGACGAAAGACUUUAACGUUUAACAUUUUUUGUGUUGCCUUGUUCUUAACUCAUAGCAUUUGAGAAUAAGUCCCCAACAUUGGCGCCCACCUCCGGUGAACUCACUUCCACUAUUUGAGUUUUGAACACCUUCGGCAAUCAUAAACCUUCGCUAUGGCGCCGAAGAAAGCUUCAGCAACUGGGGCUGCAGCUCUGCAACCGCUGGACCCCAAUCAGGAGACUCUCUCCCUUCGGGAGGCCCGAAGCCAGAAGAGGAAGGCUAUCAGCCCGACACUGCCAGAGGAUGAGCUAGACCAAGAAAUCAGAGACAUGGAGAUGCUUCAUCAACAGGUGCAGAAGAAGAAGGAAAAGAUGGCCAGGCUAGCUGAACUGCAAAGGCAGAUAGACGAAGCCUCUGAAGAAGUUCGUCAUCUUACUCAGGAUGAGCAGAACCGAAGGCCUCAGCAUAAAGACCUUCAUCAGGAGGGUUUCUUCAACGAAGAUGACUGGUAUGAGAAUUUCCACCAUGAGAAUUUUGCUUUUAAUGAUGCUUCUCCUCUGUCCGCUGAGCUGCAGGCUAUACCUUGGCCUCCGUCCUACAAGCCGCCUCAGCUUCCCAUAUUCGACGGCCAUUCAGACCCGAAGCAGUUUUUGAUGAGCUACGAAGCAACAGUAUCUUCGUAUGGUGGCAAUACUGCAGUCAUGACAAAAUCUUUUGUUAUGGCUGUCAGGAGUGUUGCUCAAACCUGGUAUUCCUCCCUUCGACCAGGAACGAUCACUUCAUGGCAAAAGCUGAAGGACAUGUUGUUAACCAGCUUCCAAGGGUUUCAGACGAAGCCGGUCACUGCUCAAGCUCUAUUCCAGUGCACCCAGGACCACGAAGAAUACCUUCAGGCGUAUGUCCGGAGGUUCUUGCGUUUGAGGGCACAGGCACCAACAGUGCCCAACGAAAUUGUCAUUGAGGCCAUGAUCAAGGGACUUCGGCCAGGACCUUCAGCUCAGUACUUUGCUAGGAAGCCUCCUUAAACUUUGGAGAAGCUGCUCCAGAAGAUGGACGAGUAUAUUCGUGCUGACAAUGAUUUUCGUCAAAGAAGGGAGGAGGCUUUCAGGUUUUCCGAAAUGACCAGGGGCUUCGGAGGAAGAUUUUAUCCGAGGCACGUUAGGUCAAUUUACAACUCUACUCAAAAUGAUGAUAAGGGAAGUCAGCAGCAAAGGCCACAGUGCUCCUCACAGGUUUCGGGACAACAACAAAGCUCCUUCCGGCCGCCAGCUCCAAGAGGCAGAGGCGCCAGGGGCUUCGGCGGAAGAUUUGGAGAUCAACCAAGGAGAAUAUUUUGCUUGUUCUGUGGUGAAAACAAGGGCCAUACCACCAGGAUGUGCCAUGUUACCAUCCAGAAGCAAAAGGAGAUAGCCGAAGCUGCAGCACAACAUGGUCAGCCGAAGCAGAUCAUGCACACUGCUUCGUAUCAUUCGCCUUAUAUCCCAGGAUAUGUAAGCAACCACCCUGCAGUUUCUGUUGCUUCGGCGAGUCAACCUCAAGCUUCCUGGCAACAGCCUCCGCCUCCACCACCGAUGCAACAAGGCCAGCAGCCAGAAGGGGGCCAAUAUGCUCAACAACAAAGGGACUUCAGAGAACAGUCCGAAGCUCGCACAGUCAAUAGCACUGUGCCAGAGUCGAAGCAUAUUUAUUGACAAAUAUCCUACCUUGAUAGUAGUCUUUUCCAUUCAGUUUUAUUUUCUGUGUAAUAAAGGACACUUUUUAAAUCUCAUGUAAUAGUUUCAUUGUUUGCCACAAGGAAAAUGUAUCUUCCCCACAGGCUUAAGUUGUUGAAGCUUAAAGAUUUGCGAUAGCAAGGAGGACCUUCGAAUUAUUAAAAAUUUAUUUUAAAAGGCACGGUAUGAAUUCUUCGAAGCAACAAAAAGUCGUUCUAAGGAACGCAGAGUAAGUUUGCUGAAGUUACAAAAAGCCGUUCCAAAUGGAGCGUAGUGUAAGUUUUCUGCACCAAAGUCGUUCCAAAGGAAAUGCAGAGCUUACAGCGAAAAAUAAACGCUGAUACCGCCUAAGUAAAAGGCGAAGCGCGAAAAGUCAACGCAAAUACCGCCGAAAGUAAAAGGCGAAGAAGCUCCUAAGGGAGGCUUACAGCGAAAAAUAAACGCUGAUUCCGCUGAAGUAAAAGGCGAAGAAGCUCCUAAGGGAGGCUUACAGCGAAAAGUCAACGCUGAUUUAAAAAGAUUAUGUGUUUUAUUGCGGGGAUGUGCGUGUAUCUUCGGAAUAAAUACCAUUUUACAUAGCAUAACAUCAUCACAUCAUUUCGUAUAGCAUAAGCAUCAUACAUCAUGCUGCAUAUGGCAUAAGAAGGGGACACAAUAUCGAUCUUCGGAAGAAUGCUUUGAAAAAGGGAAAACAUGCUAAGUCACAAGGAGAUACAAUAUUGAUCUUCGGAAUGUAGAUUCGGAGAAUAUUUUCACGAAGCUUGGAUAUUUUUCAUCAGAACACUAUGGGUAUUGUUGUGAUAAAUGAAAAUUCUUCUUCACGAAGCAUGAAAAGAAGGGAAGGUGUUUUUUCGUCAAAGACUCAAAAAAGGUACGUAUGUAAAAUUUCAUGCAUCGUAAAGAAUUGAACCAUAAAAAACAAGUAUAUUACAUUCAGAGUUAUAAAAUAUUACACAUAUUACAUUUCAGAAGUUUUUACAAUAACACUUAGUCUUCCUUAAGUACAACUUCCGCAGCUUCGUUCAGGAGUUGAUUAACAACUUGAUCCAUGAUAGCUUCAGCCAUCUUUUUAAUUUUGUCGUCUUCUUUCGGGUGAGGGCCCGGAGACGCUUUAGUAGGAUCUGAAGGAGGACAGGAUAUGGCUACAUUGUUAUUACAAAUUGCGAACGAAGUUUAAAAUAAAAAAUUACAACACAAUAAAAACCAUUAGUUAAUACCUAUUUGCCCUUCGGGCUCUGCGCUUUUCUCAGCAGCCUCUGCUACUUUUCUAGCAUCAUGGAUGUCCUUUUCGCUUUUUUGGAUAAUUUCUCGGGCCAUUUCUCGACCACCAUUGUCCCAGACAUCGGUGAAAAUUUUUUCCACCAACCAUGCUAGCUUCGGCUGAAGGAUCUUUUGCAUCUUCGAAGGACAAGGUAGCUUCGGAUUGCGCUAAAAUCUUUACAUGCUCGCAGCCCUUUUUCUCCAAAAUGGUGGCAAUCCCCCUGGCACCCGAAAAAGCACAUAUGUCUUCGCGGCUAUUUAAAAUUUCCUCAAAGGCCUCAGCUUCGUGAUUAAUCCAUUCGAUGGGACCUUCAGGCUUGCCUCUUGUAAAGUUUUCUUCGCUCGAGAAUGCGCCAACGCUGGCGAAGCUAGCUUUCAUUUUCUUAACACACUCCAUAGAUUUGUCAUAGCAUCUUUUCUUGGACGAGCGAAGCUCUUCAACAGUUCCUUCUAAAUGAUUUGCCCAUUGGUCGCUAAGUUCUCGCUUCGUUUCUUCAAGUAUGCGUUCCUCUUUAGCUCUGGCUAGUUGUUUUCGAAGAUCUUCAAUUUCACGCUUCUGAGCCUCAGCUUGACCUUUAAAAGUAGUUUCGUCUUCUUUUAUUCUAUUUAUCAAUGAAUGUAAUAUUUUAUCUUUUUCGAGACCUUCGUUCCUUAGUUCAAUUACUUCGGAACGAAGGUUGCUCAGGGCCAUAACACACCCUUCGUCUUCGGCAUCUUUUUGGGCCCUGAGGGCAUUGCUAAGUAUAAGGCCCUGCAAAGAAAAAUGUGUGUGCGUCAAUAAAUUUAAGCAAACGAAAAAUUUUGGUCUCAAGAAAAAAUACAAAGACCUCAUUUUUUGUACCUUUAAGCUAUUGUACGUCAAGCUGUCGGCCAGCUCGUUUUUCGACAACACCGAGAGCCCGUCUUCUAGUGUUGGGAAUCCGAAGCUCUUGCUCAUCUCCCGACAGACAGAAAUCUCCUUGCUGUCAGGGAGACAAUACAAGAAGUCUUCUUCUCCGCUGCCGUUGAAUAUCAACGCCCCCUUUGGAUAUUUCAGUUUUUAGGUGUAAAACUGGACCUCUUGCUUUUCUUUUUCAGACAACUUUUUCCCUGAAGCAUGUCGAACAAUAUAAUCAAGGACUUUGGGGGAUGCUUCGGGGGCAACAACACUGAUUUCUUCAACAAGAAUUGGCUCCGUCAUUUUUUCUUCCUCGGUUUCCAAGGAUUUUACCUUCGUGGGCUCUGAAGGCCCAGCUUCAGCCUCAGUUUGUUGCUUUGGAGCUUUAGUAUCAAAAAUUUCAGUUUCCGCUUCGGAAGUUUCAACAGUCUUCUUCGGAGUUGUGCUUGAGGACUUAAUUGUCUCCAGAACAUCUAGCACAUUGACCAUUCUUUUUCUUUUCGGAGUCACCGCUGGGCCCUUUUGGUCUUUUAUUGUCUCAACACUUGCUGAAGGACUCAAAAUUUCCAAUAUUUUCGUUCCCUCAGUUCUCGGUUUUUCUGCUUUCUCUGCUUAGGGUGCUUCAGCUUUUUCUUCGAUCUUCAGCACUGAAGUUGGUUCUUUAAUUUCGGUGGCCGAAGAGGUUUCACCGGCGAACUCAGGAACUGUAGCUGGUUCAAUGUAGCGUGGCCGGUGUGUAAGAACCUUUACCCUUUGUCUCUUCGGCGUUGGCUCGAUGGGAGCGGCUGAGGCAGUUUCCUGAGCAGGAGUUGCACUUUUUCUUUUUUGGCCCCGCGCUGGGUAGUGGUAGUCGGGGUACACGAACCCAAUUGCGUCAAACACUCGGUUCAGUCUUUUCUUUUUCCGGCCUCCGAAGGCUGCCGACAAUGCAGUAUCUUCGGCCUUUGAAUAAACCCCAAGUAGUUCAUCACUUACAUUUUCAAUGCUUUUUAGCCAGUCAUCAUCUGGCUCAAUGAAUUUAUCUCCGAACUUGAAAGUAUACUUCAGCCUGAUAAGUCCACCUUUGUCAGCCUCCUUUAUGGUCUCUUGCGCCAAUGUUGGGGACUUGUUCUCAAAUGCUAUGAGUUAAGAACAAGGCAACACAAAAAAUGUUAAACGUUAAAGUCCUUCGUCCUUCGAAGCAUUAUUUCCCUUGAGGAUAUAAUGAUUUUUGGACGAAGGUUAUGAAGGACAUACCUUCAUAAACACAACAUAUAAUAAUGAAGAAGAAAACAUAUGAAAUAUAGAGGAUAACGUAAACAAUUAUAUAUUAUUAUCAACUCAUUUCUAUAUUAUUAUUAUGGAAAAAUAGAAAUGAUAUCAAAUUACAAAUGUACCUUCGGCUUAAAAGAAGGUAAAAGUACAAGCGUGACGCAAAAGCAAAUGCCAAGUCAUUGUGAACAGUACGGGGGCACUGUUCACCUAUUUAUAGGCGCGGGACACAGCCCAUGUAAAAUUACACUCAUGCCCUUUACAUUUGGUAGUAAUUCUAUAGUAAUCUACCGAGGUCUGAAAAACCUUUUUAUCUUUAAGUCGGUUUCCUUUUCUGCUAUCACGCCGAAGCUUUCCUGCUCACAGUUUCGGCGCUGUAUCAACCUUCGUAUUCUUUGGGCUUCUCCUACUGUGGUGCCGAUUCGAGUCCGAAGAUACCUGUUCACACGUUAUACUCCAGAAACAUUGUUAAAUCAUGUUUUUGAGGACCUUCGGAAGCCGAAGGCCCCCAACAGUAGCCCCUCGCAAUAUUAAUUUGCUAGAAUGAUAAAUUUAGAUUGCGACAUGGACGAAGGCCUUAAGCCGAAGGUCCGAAAAAACACCUUCCCUUUGCUAGAAUAACAACAUUCACUGACAAGCGGGGUCUUCCAAUUUUCAAUGCACUGGUGUAUAAAUAAGAGCAUACCACGAGCUCAUUUGAUACGCUUUCUUGCCAUCUGCUCUUGCUUACUUAAUUUUUAGCUCUUGGGCACCAACACUUGCUUGGCUUUUUAAGUUUUUAAGCUUUGGCUUUGAAGAUAGUUUUUUAGCAUUUUCGAAGAUGUCUGAAGAUAAAAAGGCUGCUGUCGAGAUAAAGCUGAGUCUCUCUGAAGAGAAAAACCUGGGGUUUCUUGAAGCAAUGUCGAAAACCAAUACAGAAAAGAUCACCAAAGAGAUUUUAGAAGGUUUAUCUAAAGAUACUGAUGACAGCGACAGUUAUGAUGUGGAUAGUGG